rnacentral:rRNA from 1 species
AUUGAACGCUAGCGGGAUGCCUUACACAUGCAAGUCGAACGGCAGCACGGACUUCGGUCUGGUGGCGAGUGGCGAACGGGUGAGUAAUGUAUCGGAACGUGCCCAGUAGCGGGGGAUAACUACUCGAAAGAGUAGCUAAUACCGCAUACGCCCUACGGGGGAAAGGGGGGGAUCGCAAGACCUCUCACUAUUAGAGCGGCCGAUAUCGGAUUAGCUAGUUGGUGGGGUAAAGGCCCACCAAGGCGACGAUCCGUAGCUGGUUUGAGAGGACGACCAGCCACACUGGGACUGAGACACGGCCCAGACUCCUACGGGAGGCAGCAGUGGGGAAUUUUGGACAAUGGGGGCAACCCUGAUCCAGCCAUCCCGCGUGUGCGAUGAAGGCCUUCGGGUUGUAAAGCACUUUUGGCAGGAAAGAAAUCGCAUGGGUUAAUACCCUGUGUGGAUGACGGUACCUGCAGAAUAAGCACCGGCUAACUACGUGCCAGCAGCCGCAGUAA